UGUAAGAAGCGGCCAAACCACUUGUGAAAAGAUUCCGAAACUUGGCUGACAGCACCGGAACGGGAUAUGAUUCUUGGAGAGAAGCCUUACGCUUCAAAGGAAAAUAUGAGCGAAGAAAGAUGAGAAUUCAAUGUGGGGAAAAGUGCCUGCCAAAAAGCUUCGCACGGAUGGCACGUUGACAAUAGAUGAGCCAGUGGUAAAAAGGACAAGACCAACUGCUGUUGCUCAAGUGUGGGACAGGGAAGACAAGAGCAGUGUAAAGAGCCACACUGCAUCGAUGAAAAAGGAGCUUGCCAAAAAAAAGCCAGACGUUUCUUAUGUCACAGACUGCAUGUCAAGGACAUUCCUAGCUCGAAGAAACUAGAUGGAAAACGAGUGCCCGUCCCAACAAGCCAUCACGGAUGAAUAUCCGGCGCUGAAGUUGAGCUCCAUGGUAAUCACCAGCGAUAUUUUCCUUUGU
rnacentral:lncRNA from 1 species